GACUAGAGAACAAGACCUAUUUUCCUUCGGCGCGGGGAACACCAUUCAACUAGUUCGAAAAAUCUUCGAGAAGGACGCGUUUGGCAGGCUUCGUCGAGUCUUCACUUCGAAGUUUCCGCAAUGCUUGAAGACAAAAGUCUUCGACCAAUGCGUCUUGCCUGUUUUAACAUACGGAGCCGAGACGUGGACACUGAUGAAGGGACUGAUCCAGAAGUUGCUCAACGUGCAAUGGAACAGACUAAGCAUAUAUAUGAUAAGAUUGCCGGUGUAGACUGGAUAAGGAUUGCAAUAAACCGGGAUGUCUGGCGUGAACUUGGGGAGACCUAUGUCCACCAGUAGACUGCAUAGGCUGAACGGACUGAUAAAAUAUAAUAAUCUAUAAUAAAUAAUUAAUCUAUUACAUCUAUCUCAUCAAUCUACAUUCUAAAUAAAUCAUUUGGGUUCUAUAGCAUUUA